CCAAACUGAAAUGACAUCAUACCCGAGUCCAAGUGGCGCUGAGUGCGUACCCACAAGGCCCUGCAGGAGACCCGGGGAGCAGCGGCAGCAGGGGUGGAUCUGCGUCAUCAGCAGGACGUCAUAUUCAUCAGUGAGGAACCGCUUAAGCCUCAAGGGAUCCCGUUUCUGACGGGACGGGGCGGUCCGGCAGGAGCUGCAGGACGGUUGUAAGAGGCUCCCUCCACCGUUUGAAGGCUCAGAUGUCUCGUUUCAAUCUGAAGCCAAUUAUCAGAUUAAAAGUCCAUAGAAAACCAUGUGAUCCGGUUAACAAAUCCCCCGCUUGCUCUCAGAAGCUGUCGUGGGGCCCUCACAGCGUGCCAGCUGAACGGUCACACGAGUCUUGACCCCCGCCCACCGUGAUCUUCAUUCUUUGUUCACCACCUAUACGAACAACUCAGUCCAACGUGCACACGAGGAGACACACACACGAGGGACGAUGGGAUACGUAUUAUUGGACCGGCGUCCGCUUGUGUUCGGCGCCACGGCGCAAUUACCAUGGAAAUCCAAGGUAUGCCCGCUCGCAAAAAAGGCCAGCGUGAACUCGCACAUCUGGAAUCCUGCGCGCCGCUUCGCUCCAGGCAGGAAAAAGCUCACCCCCCCGGCAGCGAACCAGCAACGACACGCGUUUAGGGAGCUGCGCACCAACACAGAAAGUCCAGACGAAACCGACGCAGACGGACCGGUGACCCGGCGGGGCACAAUUUCAGUUUCUCAGUCACUCAGUCCAAGGACCCGCUUCCUUCUGAGUGGACCGAAGUUGUUUCCUUCACGGGGGGGAAACAAGUUUAUCUCUGAGGAAUAAUUUAGUUUUCUUAGAUGAAUCAUCUUGGAAAGUUUGAGACAACAUUGUUGGCUUGUGACACAUUAAAAAUUCACACAAUUA